AUGAACGCUGGCGGCGUGCCUAAUACAUGCAAGUCGAGCGAACGGACGAGAAGCUUGCUUCUCUGAUGUUAGCGGCGGACGGGUGAGUAACACGUGGAUAACCUACCUAUAAGACUGGGAUAACUUCGGGAAACCGGAGCUAAUACCGGAUGAUAUUUUGAACCGCAUGGUUCAAAAGUGAAAGACGGUCUUGCUGUCACUUAUAGAUGGAUCCGCGCUGCAUUAGCUAGUUGGUAAGGUAACGGCUUACCAAGGCAACGAUGCAUAGCCGACCUGAGAGGGUGAUCGGCCACACUGGAGCUGAGACACGGUCCAGACUCCUACGGGAGGCAGCAGUAGGGAAUCUUCCGCAAUGGGCGAAAGCCUGACGGAGCAACGCCGCGUGAGUGAUGAAGGUCUUCGGAUCGUAAAACUCUGUUAUUAGGGAAGAACAUAUGUGUAAGUAACUGUGCACAUCUUGACGGUACCUAAUCAGAAAGCCACGGCUAACUACGUG
rnacentral:rRNA from 1 species